UACGGAGGAUGCGAGCGUUAUCCGGAUUUAUUGGGUUUAAAGGGUGCGCAGGCGGCACGGCAAGCCGGCGGUCAAAUCGCGGGGCUCAACCCCGCCCAGCCGUCGGAACUGCCGGGCUAGAGUGGGCGAGAAGUGCGCGGAAUGCGUGGUGUAGCGGUGAAAUGCAUAGAUAUCACGCAGAACUCCGAUUGCGAAGGCAGCGCACCGGCGCCCUACUGACGCUGAGGCACGAAAGCGUGGGUAUCGAACAGG
rnacentral:rRNA from 1 species